UUUCUCUCUUUCUAUCUUCUCAGGUUAUAAUAUAAUAUAAUUCUCUCUUGUUAUUACAUUCGCCAUCUCCAUUGGUAUUUAAAACGCGAAACAAAUUGUAAUAGUAAUAGAUUUAAAUUAUUAGUUUAAAAAUUGAAAAUUUUCUACUAUUGGAAACAAAGAGAAAAUAAAUUCUAUUCUAAAUUUCUAAAUUAUGGCUUGUCUUAUAACAUUGAAAAAAGAUUUAAGACGUUUAGAGACCAUUUUUCCUAAAGAUCAUGAACGAUUUCAGUUAAUGAACGCCACAGUCGAUGAAUUAACAUGUACAUUUAUUGGCAGAAAUGGUAAAAAAUAUGAGAUUCACGCAAAUUUUACGGAAACCUAUCCAGAGGCACCACCAGUUUGGUUCUCCGAGGUUGAAGACGAAAGUAUCAGUAAUAUCGUACAAUAUUUGAGCAACACAAAUGGUGUUGAAAAUUACAUUCUACAACAGGUAAAAGUUCUCGUUCGUGAAUUAUGCAAAGAUCACAAUCUUCCAGAACCAACCGAACUGGGUCAACUUUGUGAUGUGUCAACACCAUUGAUUAACGGUGCUUUACAAUGUUCAAAUUCACGUUCUUCUUUUGCCACCGAGAAUAGUGGUGAUUCGGGUUAUAUUAAUGAUAAUGAUGAAGUAAAUCAGGCAAAUGUCAAUAAUCAUCCAUCCUCUGAUACUGAGGAAGAUUCAGAUAUGGAAGAUGAAGAUUUACCAAUAGAAAUGGAAGAAGAUGCCAGCAAUGCAGAUAAGUCAAAAGAUGACGGGUUAAGCCAUGAACACACAGCAACACUUGAAAGACUCAAGCAAAAUCAACGGGAAGGCUAUUUGAGAGGUGCAGUUAGUGGAUCUGUACAAGCAUCCGAUAGAUUAAUGAAAGAAUUGAGAGAAGUUUAUCGAUCAGAAAGCUUUAAGAAAGGUGUAUUUUGUGUUGAAUUGAUCAACGAUUCCCUUUACGAGUGGAAUGUCAAAUUAUUUAUUGUAGAUCCAGAUAGUCCUUUGCAUAAUGAUCUGAGAAUAUUGAAAGAAAAAGAGGGAAAAGAUCACAUUUUAUUGAACAUUUUAUUCAAGGAAACUUAUCCUUUCGAACCACCAUUUGUUCGUGUUGUUCAUCCCAUGAUUCAAGGUGGUUAUGUGCUUUGCGGUGGAGCGAUUUGUAUGGAACUACUAACGAAACAGGGAUGGAGCAGUGCGUACACAGUUGAAGCUAUUAUUUUACAAAUAGCUGCUACCUUAGUUAAGGGCAAAGCUCGUAUUCAAUUCCAUGGAAAUAAGGUAUUCAAGGGCCAAUAUAGUCUCGCUCGGGCACAACAAACUUACAGAUCUCUUGUACAAAUACACGAGAAAAAUGGUUGGUUCACACCUCCAAAAGAAGAUGGUUAACCUUUAUCGUUUGUUUAUCACUAAAAAAACUGAAAAAACACCAAUAACAAUUUACUCGAUUAUCAUUUGAAGACAUUAGAUUAACAAGUAAUCAACAAUUACUCAGUAUUACAGUACGUUUCGUCUCGAGUUUUUCGUUUUAAAUUGUGAAAAAUCAAAUUUGAUUUAUUUUUCGCUUCUUCCUCAAUCAAACUAUUGGAUUUACAAAGAAGAUGCCAAACAAAAACAACCAAAAAUGCUGAAUUUUUAUCUUUUAAUUAGCUGAUUCUUGUUUUGUUUCCUUUACCAUCAUCGUCUAAAUUAACAAUUAACCAGGAAUGUAAUUAGUGGAUUUACAUGGAGUGUUGGUCACCUUAAUUUUUUGUUUUCCUUCUUCUUUGCAAUCAAAUUAAUCAUUUUUGAUUUGCUCUGUUAAUCAACCUGCUUCCUUACUCUUCAUCGACAUUCAUUACCUAAAAUCUUACAUCAUUUCUAAUUUACCAUCAUUUUAAGGAUUAAUUGUUUCAACAUUAUUUACAAUAGGACAAACUAACAAAUUAACUUUUAUCUUUUAAUCCUUUUUUGAUAAAGAAGAACAAAAAAAAACAAUUAAUGAUUCAACUUGAAACAAUUAACUUUAAAAGGAUAAACAAUUGAAGAAGAGCAAAAAAUGAACUAAUUUACAUAAAAUCUACUUCGAAAUGAUGACCCUCAUUCUAAAUCCAUUGGUUAAUUGCAACAUGAUUCUCAUCAUUAUCUUUUCUAUUUAAGACCAUAAUAUUCAUACGAGAAAAAGAAACAAUUAAUAAAUAGACUAAACAAUUAA